GCACGUUUCUUCAUCACCUGCCGCCUUGAACUCUGUCCAUGCUGUCUGUAAAGAUCGACUAAUCUCCAUUCAUCCGUCAGAGUGAAGGUUGCUAGCUGCCGUUUUGAGCUGUGCUGCUAAAGUGCAUGUUGAAGGUUAUGAAUGUGGUGUUGUAAGCUUUGCUCUACAAGUGUAUCUAAAAGGUUCCAAAUCCUAAAACACUUGAGACUUAAACACUCAAUUCUUGGCCUGAGACACUCAUAUCCAUGCAUUUACAGUCAUUGUCCUUGUACCUUCAAAACAUGGGGUGGUCUUAGGACUCAUCUAAGUCGUGCACAUAAUGCUAAGCCCUCUCGCACUGUAGAACAUGGUAUUUUGACUUGUCCUUCUUGUCCUGAAAGCCACAUAUCAACAAGCAGAGAAUACUUCCUCCAUAUUAAUAAACAUCUCAAGAGGUUGGAGACAGUAGAUUGUGUUUAUAAAAAUUGUUCUUUUAAAACCAAUGUAUAUGGUACUUUUCAGACACACAAGAAUAGAAAACAUUCUACAUGUACGUUAAGAGAUUUCAAAAAUGAAAUAGUGAAAAGAACUGAAUUUACAAGUGACCAUGAUCUUUCAGAGGAGUCUGCAGACGAAGGGCCUUCUGACUUGCAUAGUGAAGCUGGUUUAGUUAGUGAAAAUUUAGAGGAAGCUGUAGUUAAAAACCUUGCCUUGGUUUUAUUAAAGUUGGAGGUCUUUUCACAUGUUCCAACAUCUGCAAUUGAUCAUUUACUCGAGGGGCUACAUUUUUUAUUGACUACGUCUUCUUUACCCUUAACAAAUAGUUUAACUUUGGCUGUUCUCAAGGAACAUAAUAUCGAGGUUACUGCAUCGCUAGUGAGUGAGUUGUGCACUGCAUUAUACAGUGAAAAUCCACUACUGAAAAGUAUUGCGAAAGGAGGAUCACUUGAAACAUCAUUUAAGCGCAAGAAGUUUUACUAUGACAAGUUUAAUGUUGUUGUGCCAGAGGAAUAUGUUCUAGAGGAAAAAACUAACAAAACCUUUCAAUAUAUUCCACUGCUGAAGUUAUUGGAGCAGUUACUUCAACGUAAAGACAUUGUUGGAAAGCUGGUUGACAACUAUAAAAGAGGUCUUUCAAAUUCACAAUUGCUUACAUGUUUUCAGGACGGUGAGAAUCAUAAGAAUAAUAUUUUUUUUUCAAGUGGGGAGCUCAGAAUUUCAUUAUGCCUAUAUAUUGAUGAUUUCGAAGUGUGCAACCCGCUAGGAACAUCUCGCAAAAAACAUAAACUUUGUGCGGUUUAUUGGAUUCUGGGGAACUUGCCGUCUAGUUGCAGCUCAGCCCUUUCCUCAAUCUACUUAGCAUUGUUGUGUAAAAGUGAAUUAAUUAAAUCUUUCGGUUAUGAAAAAGUAUUUGAACCUCUGCUGCGUGAUUUAGUCAGACUCGAGAAGCAAGGUUUAUUCGUGCCCCUCCUUGGUUCGGUUAUCAAGGGUACAGUUCAGUGUGUCAUCGCUGAUAAUCUGGGGGCCCAUGGGCUUGGAGGAUUUGUGGAGAAUUUUUCAGCUAAUUAUUUUUGUCGUUUCUGUACAGCCCACCUUUCUGAUAUCAAUACGCAUGAGGUAAAGACAGGAGCAUUUGAACGAAGAACAAAGGAAAAUCAUCUGCUUCAUAUCAAGACUGCUCAAGAACAAGGUGUGAACUGUUUAGGUGUUAGAAAAUCCUGUGUGUUAUCGGAUAACCUCUCAUAUUUUAAUGUUGUUACUGGUUACCCUCCCGACAUUGUCCACGAUUUCUUUGAAGGAAUAGUUCCUGUUGAGUUGGCGCAGUGUAUUGACAUCCUCGUGUCCAAAAAGUAUUUCACUCUCGAACAACUGAACGAUCGUAUUCGUUCUUUUCCUUACAAGGAAGGAGAUAAAACAAACCGUCCCACUGUGUUAUCAAAAGCUGUAAGUAAGAAGAAGAGGCGUUCUCUUGGUGGUAAUGCACACGAGAACUGGUGUCUCAUUCGCUUGCUUCCUUUUAUCAUUGGACCAAAAGUCCCUGCUGAUGAACCAGCUUGGCUGGUUAUUUUAGACUUAAAAGAUCUUGUCGAGCUUGUAGUAGCUCCUGUUCAUAGUCUACAAUCUGUUGCAUAUUUGGAGUGUAAGGUCUCAGAGCACCGAAAGCGUUACCAACAACUAUUUCCUAAUCAAAAACUGAUGCCUAAACACCACUUUAUUGAGCACUAUGCAGAAAUGAUCAAAUGUUUUGGUCCUCUUGUCUCAUUAUGGACGAUGAGAUUCGAGGCCAAGCAUAGUUUCUUUAAACAGGCUGUUCGGAACAUCAAAAACUUCAGAAACAUAGCUGGCUCUUUAGCUCGUAAACAUCAGUUAAUGAUUGCAUAUAAAAUGCUUUGUCCUGAUGGUGAAAAUUCUACUGAUGUUACUCACGUGACAGAAGUGCCGUUGGAUGUCCUUAAAGACAAUGUUGUGAAAAGUAUCUCUGACAAAUAUCCAGACGUGACUGCUGUUAACUUAGCUACUAGUGGUUUUGUGAACAACAUUUAUUACAAAAAGGGGAUGAUUGUUGUGCAUGGAUCGUGUGGUGGUCUACCUGAUUUCUGUGAAAUUCAACAUUUGUGCAUUAUUAAAAACGAGACUCUCCUCAUUCUGAAAAGACUAAAUUCAUGGUACAGAGAGCACUAUAGAGCUUUUCAACUACAAACAACAACAGAAGUUGUUGUUGUAUCCAUGACAGACCUGGGCGACCUAUACCCUCUAUGCGACUAUGAAGUUGGACACUUGCGGAUGGUCACCUUGAAAAGGCAUAUUCACAUUGCAUGAAGAAUGGCUGCUACUUUGAGGGUGAUACUUGGAGUGGACAAUUCAUCCAAGUUGAUUCUUCCUUCCGGAAUCCCUGGUUCAGUGGACAGGUUAAAAGAAGAAAUACAAAGACAGUUUGGAUUGACCGAAGAUUUCAGGUUGCAAUAUAGAGAUGCUGAGUUUGACAAUGAAUACAUGAACCUUACCACAACUGGGGACAUUAAAGACAAGAGCACAAUCAAAGUAAUUUACACACAAAACCCGGCGCCCUCCACUGUGCCCACCACAGCUUCCACAGCUGCCUCCACAGGAACAUCUUCACUGUUUGAUUCACCAUCCUUGCCAGACACUGACAUCCUUUCCUCUCCAGACUCCAGUGCCUCAUGUUCAUCUCUUCGCUUGCGGAAAUGGCCCUUAAACUUUCCAAUACCAGAGUUUAGUUUUGGUGUGCAGUUUCAGUUAGAGAGAGCCCAACAAGAAUAUGUAAACAAUGGGACUCUCUUAGACCCGAGCCCAAAACUCAAAUCUGACAUAUUAGAUAUGUUGGCCUCAGAAAUUGCAAAAUACAAAGUUUAUCCCUCAAGUGCAGAUAUUGAUGAUGUUGCUGAAGCAUUAAUACAAAAAUAUCCCUUUCUCAAAGAGACUGGAUCUGUGACAGGCUGUGAAGGCUGGAAAGUAAGCAUCAGAUACAAAAUGGCCAAUUAUCGUACCACGCUGAGAAACAUAGGGUGCCCAGAGGUGGCAAUAAACACUCUACAACACAAGAGAGAACGAGAGGAGAGUCCAUGUCGAAACAAAGUAAAAAAAGCACGGAAAGCGGAAGUGAACUUCUUACCGCAAUACCCUGCAGGAGAAACAAAGGAAAGUCUGGAGGAAGAACGGCAAGCACUACUGAUGGAGGUGAAGAAAACAAACAAUGAUCAAAUAAUCAAAACAAAGAUGGAUAAGACGUUUGCACACCGAAGAAGAGAGGUGAUUGAAGAGAUGCCGUUCAUUGCGGAGUUCAAGAGCAGAUGGCCUGCCCUCUUCAAAGUACAUGAGAUCAAUGCGGAGUUCACCCGAAUCACCACCGUUCCACUGCUGUCCACAUUCAUGAGCAGUCUCGACCACUACUCUGACCAGCUGAUGAAGAUUUUACGGAAAAAAGGAGGGGAACCAGCACGGCGGAUUGCUGCAGUGAUGUCUCCAAUUGGACAGAGUUCCCGCAUCGAAGUGAAGCGUGAAUGCAUCCUUAAAGCGCUCAUGAUAUACCUGAAUGAGAAGCCUCAAAACCUCAUCAAAGAGUAUCUGGAUGUCAGCGUGAUGGAAGCCGAAGAGCUCGAGGGGAUUGAUUUGGGCAUUUAUAAAAUAAUCCACGAAGGAGCACAGCUAGAUGACUCCCUUGAAGAUGUUGGCAUCAUCAUCGAAAAGUGCACCGUCUUGCAGGAUCUUAGUGAUGUGGCGAGCGGGUGUGCACUUUUGUUUGGGCUAAUUUACUGCCUCAAUCUGAGCUACCCAAAGCCAUUUCGUUACUUAUUUGAGUUCUUUCAGAAAGUGCUCAUGGGACUGGAUGAUAAGAAACUGUCUACCAAAAUACAAGUCCUGAAGAACAAACUCUGCCAAAAGGAGAUGCAAUGACUGUUCAAGAGGGGAAUGUCCAAAACAUAAAACACAAUUCUCUAUUUUCUUGCUAAGGAAAAAUUUGACUGUUUGAAAGUUGCAGUUUUUUUAAUAAUGGAAAAGGGAGGUCAAAUGUCAAGUUGCUCAUUUUAUUUAAGCAUUUUUGGUCUUUGCAUUUAAGAAAAUUUGCGAAAUUUGCUGUAUGCUGUUUUGUUUUGAAUGAGAAAAAGAAAACUUACAAUUCUGAAUCAGAUUUUUUGGACUGGGGACAAAAUUGCCCAGAUUGACUUUAAUUUUUUAUUUCACUUCUUACAUAUUUUCUGUAAUUGCAGUAUGCAGUGAUUUUAGUUUGAGUUAAACGUUAUAAUGCCUUAAAAGAUUUGGAAUAGGUCAGAUCUGCUGUCUUGGAGAUAAUCACCACGAAAAGUGACGUCUAUGCCUGCCUGCCUUUAUUAACCCAAAUGUACCCACUGAUGAACCAGCUUGGCAGGCUAGUUUAGACUUAAAAGGUCUUGUCGAGCUUAGUAGCUCCUGUCCAUAAUCUAUCUCUGUUGCAUAUUUGUCUCUGGAAAGAUUAUUUUCAAAUAUUUCCUAAUCAAAAACGGAUGCCUAAAUGCUUAUUCAUUAAGCACUAAUUAGAAAUUCUCAAAAGUUUUGGUCCUUUAAUAGUUGGGAAAGUAUCUUACAAGUAGCAGUACUGUGGUAAAUCUGCAGACUGUAGCCAUUGCAGAUCUUCGACAGGAGUUCCACAAAAUACAGUAUUGUAUCGGAUUUGACAUCCUACUGCACACUACAGUGUCACUUUGUUGAAACUGGAAAGUUGUUUCCAAUGUUUACAUUUUGGUCUAUGCCUUUUAUUUAAUAUUGCAGUAUGCAGUGUUGUUCACUGUUGAAGCUUUGCCUCGUUAAAGGCUUUUGUAAAUAAAGUUGUUAAUGCAACACAAUUUUUUUUGUAUUUAGACUUUUUAUGUAAG